CCUACGGGAGGCAGCAGUGAGGAAUAUUGGUCAAUGGGCGAGAGCCUGAACCAGCCAAGUCGCGUGAGGGAGUACUGCCCUAUGGGUUGUAAACCUCUUUUGUCGGGGAGCAAAAGCCGGACGUGUCCGGCUGUGAGAGUACCCGAAGACAAAGCAUCGGCUAACUCCGGUCCAGCAGCCGCGGUAAUACGGAGGAUGCGAGUGUUUUCCGGAUUUAUUGGGUUAAAAGGGUGCGCAGGCGGAUUGUUAAGGCAGCGGUAAAAUCGUGGGGCUCAACCCCAUCCUGCCGUUGAAACUGGGGAUCUAGAGUGUGCGAGAGGUAUGCGGAAUGCGUGGUGUAGCGGUGAAAUGCAUAGAUAUCACGCAGAACCCCGAUUGCGAAGGCAGCAUACCGGUGCACAACUGACGCUCAGGCACGAAAGCGUGGGUAUCGAACAGGAUUAGAUACCCGGGUAGUC
rnacentral:rRNA from 1 species